rnacentral:lncRNA from 1 species
GAUGAAGACACGUGGAACAGUUUGUGUGAUAUGAAAUUAAUCCUAGGUGAAGACAUCGUAGGAACAGUUUCAAACCACGAACUAUUUUGCUUAUAAUUAUUAAAAAGAUUGAGGCAUUGAGGACAGAGACAAUUCUACUAUUGUCUUUAUUUGACAAUGCUAUGCUAUGGAGCAUCUUCAACACCAAAAAGAAAAAUAAAGACAACAGCCGAAUUGGUCAUAAAUAUUUCAUGACAAAUUGAUAGUGUAUGUGAGAAAUUCUCAUUCGUUUUGUAGUUUAGAAUAUCACUAGUAGUUUAGCGUCUCCUACAAAAGUUAUUCAUUCAUUAAAAA